GGCGGACGGGUGAGUAAUGUAUAGUUAAUCUGCCCUUUAGAGGGGGAUAACAGUUGGAAACGACUGCUAAUACCCCAUACUCCUUUUAUCUUAAUGGUAAUUGGGAAGCGUUUUUUCGCUAAAGGAUGAGACUAUAUGGUAUCAGGUAGUUGGUGGGGUAAGAGCCUACCAAGCCAAUGACGCCUAGCUGGUCUGAGAGGAUGAUCAGCCACACUGGAACUGAGACACGGUCCAG
rnacentral:rRNA from 1 species